rnacentral:snRNA from 1 species
GUGCUCACUUCAGCAGCACAUAUACUAAAAUUGGAACUAUACACAGAUUAGCAUGGUCCCUGUACAGGAUGACACACAAAUUCAUGAAGCGUUCCAUAUUUAA